rnacentral:lncRNA from 1 species
UUUUAUUUUAUUUUUUUUUCACGUUCGCUUCGAGAACUCAUUUUAAAGUGUGUCUUUGGGGAAAUUGAUUAGGUGAUGAACGUGAAAAAAAAAAUUAUUUUCACCUACUCCGGCCGGGGUAGGUGGAGUGAAAAACAAAAUGGGAGGAAUAUUUUUUUUUUGUAUGUCCGUUCUUUUUUUUUUUUUUUAGAGGAGGGGGUAGUCUGGGCGGAUGAACGAGCCCCACGGCUAAUCGAUACGGAUAUGUCGAGAAAAAAAGAAAGAAACAGAAACGGUUGGCCCCAUGUAUGGAACAUUUCGGUUGGCGUGUACGAACUAUUUGAUCCAUCGCCGCAGAAAAAAAAAAAAAGUAGGAACACAACGAGUUCAAAAGAAUAAUAAAAGAAAAAAAAAAUUGUGUGCCGGAAUCAUAUAUGCGCAUUCUGUAAGGAUUUUUUUUUUUCAAAGUCUCAUAUGUGCGCAGUGUGUGUGGAAUUUUACCGACUCCGGAGCUCUUUGACUUUGUCUUUGAUCUCUUUUCUAACUCUCUCUCUCUCUCCCCCCCUCCUCUGCAUCUAUUUCUCUUUGACGUCGUUUACAGUCCCUCCCACCCCCCUUUUUUUUUUCUGUCCUCCUUCUCUUGUCAAUGUGAUUACUUGUGAUUGUCGGCCAUUGAAAGAUAUAUCCCUUUCCAUGUUUUGUGUGCGCGCCGUUGAUGAAAAGGAGAGAGAACCGUCCGCGUAUUACGGUAGCAGUGAAAAGGUUUUCGGGACCGUGGUGGUGGGUGGGACGAUGCGGAACCGAUUCAUAGAGGGCACGACUUCUAUCGAUCCGUAAAAGAGGACAGCAGCCUACACGCAGACAUGAGGGGGAAAAAAAGGAGGGAAGUUGUCUGAGAAGAUCGGCAAUUCAACGUGCAUGAUUAUUGAUCAUAUCGCGAACGCACACGCAGUCGAUUGUUGGAUCUCUUGAUGACCCCGCUUUUUAACGUUGGCUUUUUAAUGUCAAAACGCACAAAAGACAUAAUUUUUACACGUGGCAAAGACGCGCAUACCAACGCAACUACAUUACGGUAGUUACAUGAAUAUUGUGGGUCAAUUUUAGUUGUUGGAAUAGAUAUUAUCGUUUGAUUUGACCAAUAACAAUGAGUCGUAAUAGGAGACGUCGGAUCAAUGUUGCAAAAGGUUAAGCUUUCUACCUUGAGGCUAUGCUAUUAUAUUUCCUUUCUUUUUUCCUUUUUUUUUUCACAAAAUAAUAAUAUUAAGGUCGUAAAUAGCUUUCGCUUUUUUCUUGUACAUCAUUUCACAAGCUAGACAAAAAAAACGAGUCGAGAGAUCAGGAUAUUAUUAUUUAUCUGGCAACCAGCUGUCACUAGCAGACGACUUGGUUUGACGUGAAAAGAGGCGAGUUGUCAAAACAACGGAAGGUUUUCUGUGUUCCUCUUCGCUUAUGCGAAGGUAAUCAAGUGGAAAUAGGAAUUAUACCCUAGGCGAAAUCAAAUCGAUCCGUUGUGUAGUUUUUUCUUUCUUCUUUCUUCUUUGUCACUAGAACUUGAAUACCUGUUUUCCGGCAACGCAGGUACUUGCGUGUCUAUUUUUGGGAAAGUGAAUUUGGAAACGGCUGUCCCGUUGGAACGUGGGCAUAUUGUUAGAAACACUUUUCGUGGUUUGGAAAAACAAUAAAAAGCCAACAGAUGCUGGUCGCCUCUUUAGUUGUGUGAACUAAUAGGAUAACCAAUAGGCCAAUAUUCACCGUGAAGUCCAUUUGAAGCCUUGAAAAUGAGGCCAGUUAAGUUUUGUAGUUUUGGUUGCCGAUUUCAUUUACUUUGGUGAAUGUGAGGUGAUUCAAAAAUACUGCAUGCAUCCAUCAAUUAUGGCAUUUAGCUUGCUUUAUGAAUCAUGCAAUGCUGUAAUUCCAGCUUUAGUGGAAGAUAAUUUGGAUGUCAUGGUCUUCUUCCAGCUCAUGACAUCUUUUAAUUGACAUUUUCUUUCUUUUUGAAUGUGAAUAAGCAUCUGAGAUGUAGGCCAAACACUGACAUGAAUUUCUUAAUUGGCUGACGUAGAAACAAAAAAAAUGAAAGAACGCAUUUAUUUAACCGAUUCAUCGGCGUGUCUGGACCACACUCGAAUGCCCUGACAAAGUCUUCGUUAUUGGACAAAGUUCCUAUGACGCGAUAGCGAUAAGGGCUGUGAGGAUCCUUUUCAAUAAGAGUCCUCAGCAUUUGAGGAGUAUUAGUUCCACAUAAACUAUUGGCGUAAGCCAGAAAGAAAACUUGCUCUGGCGUCAAGUUUUCGAAUUUGGUCGUUUCAGCCCGGCCAUUGGCUGCUACGUAGUAACGCAACUUUUGAGCCGUUCAAGACGGUGAAGUUGGAGUAUUCGUUAAUAAAGCACGUGGCCCGUUCUUGAUACAGUUCCAGUGUUUUCUGCGACCACCACUGAGCCGUGUUGCCGUACUUGUCACUCUGUCGACCUACGCGAGUCUUUGCCAGUCAGUUGAUCGAUGAAAAGCGUUGGAAUUAAUGGUUUACCUUCGUCGUCGAAGCCGAUAAUUAAAUUUUGUGGGUGUGUCUGGAGACAAGCGUUGAUCAGAUCGUACUUACGCCGAACGCCCUUUGCCGAAAAACGGGGGCUGUAGAAUGGCAGCCGGAAAAGCUGGAUUGAUCGUCAAACACUCUUUGCACGUAAACUGAACCCAAUGCCAUUCCCAUGAGCUCGUUGACGACAUCGACGCAUUGGUGUGACCUGGCCAUUGACGGAAAUAUAUUACGUAAUUAACGUUAACAAGGUGGUUUACACGAACCUCGAAAUGGGUUUUGAAAUGCCCUCACUCACUUUAGCAAAUUCAAAUUGCAAAUCAGCCAUGCGCUGGUUAGUGAACAUGGCCAGAGCAUCCACAAUGCGCCAAUGGAUGAAUUAAAAUGAGUUUACCUAACACUCGAGGCGGUGUUUUAUUCAACAGUUGAACGAGCUGUUUUAAAUAAUCCAGCUCGACUAUAACAAGUCGUUCAGUUUUCGGGAUAGCGAUAUCAGCUGAAGAAUAAAUUGCGUUGAGGAGAAUUAUUUAUGGACAGGCUGUCAGUCCAAUUUUGAAGUUCCAUCAACGUCAUUGGAUUGUACAUUCGGCUGCUAUUGCGACGAUCUCCAUCUGAAACGGUGAUCUGUUUAGAAUCGACAAUGAAUUAGGAAACGCUGAAUAACUACGCGAGUGUCUUCUAGAAUACCGUCGCCAACUGUGACUCGAAUUUCAAAACAGCGUCGACUUGGCUCUCGAUUUCGACGUCGGUGACGUUACUCCGCUGCCAAUCUCGAAUCGCUUUGGCAGAUUGGACUAUUAUUUUCUUGUAGGCCGUCGCUAUUGUUGGAUUGCCCGUCAUAUUGACGAGAACUGAACGAGGCAAAUAAAGCGAAUCUUGGUCGAUGUAGAUCAAACUCGCAUUCGUGUUAUCGGUGUCCAACUCGUUGAAGAUGCUGAUUAUGAUGGGCAAAUUGAAAGUGGUGAGAGCUGACGCUGUCGUUUUUGUCCAGUUAAAUGAAGAAUCUUUCCAAUGAUCUAACGUCAUCGGCCAGCCACCAAACCCGUCCAAGUAAUUAGUUAAAGGUGUUAAUCCCAAACUCUCGGUCGUAUCUAAAUUUGCGUUACAUUUUUACAUCUGACUGUUGUGUAUUCAAAUUUCGUUUAAUAAUUUUUUACCGUUGUCCAUGCAGUCGCUGUACAUUUGACGGGCAAGUCUCACAGGAAGCGGAUCGACCAGAGAAUUUUUCUCUUUCAAAAUAUCUGCAUUUCUUCAAAUUCAGUAUGAAAUUGUUAAGUUAUUUUGGAUGACUUUUUCCCACCUGUCAAGUCCUGAGUCAGUUUUUGAUUCAAAAUGUCGAAUUGCGACCAGCCCGAUUUCGAUGUUGGGAUCGAAUUCUUUUUGAUCCAUCCGCCGCACGCGUAUUGGAAAAAAUCUUGGCACGGAUCGGCCGUCGCAUCCAUAGCUUCUGCCAGUUCGAUUGCCGCUAUUUGAAUUAUUUAAAUGGAUUUUAAAAUCCCUGCUUGAAAAGAAAAAAGAAAACUUUAAUUUUACCUGUUGUGUCAACGUCCGAAGAGACAGGUAAACCGUGACUCAAUCGGAGGAUGGAAAACACGACAGCAAAGUACAAAAACUCGAAUCUGGAACACAAAAAUAGAAAUGAGACGUUGCUGCUAAAUAUCCUCAGCCAAUACACGGUAAGGAUGA